UACAGAGGGUGCAAGCGUUAAUCGGAAUUACUGGGCGUAAAGCGUGCGUAGUCGGUUGUUUAAGUCGGAUGUGAAAUCCCCGGGCUCAACCUGGGAAUUGCAUUCGAUACUGGAUAGCUUGAGUACUUAAGAGGAUCGCGGAAUUCCCGGUGUAGAGGUGAAAUUCGUAGAUAUCGGGAGGAACACCAGUGGCGAAGGCGGCGAUCUGGGAAGAUACUGACGCUGAGGUGCGAAAGCGUGGGGAGCAAACAGG
rnacentral:rRNA from 1 species